rnacentral:rRNA from 1 species
CAAUAGCAUAUAUUAAAGUUGUUGCAGUUAAAAUGCUCGUAGUUGAAGUUCGGAUGCAGCAGAGCUUGGAAACGCUGUUAUGGUGCUUCCGUUGCUUUUGCUUGUCCACAGUGCGUUGCAAGUACGUAUGUGCUUGUGCGUGCAUUUUACUUUGAGAAACAUAGGGUGUUCCACGCAUGUUACGGCAUGAAUAUUCCAGCAUGGGAUAAUCUGGUACGACUUCCAAUCUGCCAUUUUGGUUCGUAGGUUGGAAGUAAUGAUUAAUAGGGACUGUCGGGGGCAUUGGUAUUUGACUGUCAGAGGUGAAAUUCUUAGAUUCGUUGAGGACCAACCACUGCGAAAGCAUUUGUCAAGGAUGUCUCCAUUAA